AGCCCGAGCGUCGCUGGCCGGUGAGCCAGUGUCCGGCGGCGGCGCUCUGGCACGCGGUGCACCUGCUGCCGGAGUGUGCCGUGCUGGUCGUCACCGAUGCCACCCAGCUGACGGACGGCGGCGCCUUCCGGGCCGUCACAGUCGUGCUCACCUCGCAGGACCUGCGGCUGCUGGCCGACGCCGAGCUGGAGUCGGCCGCCAGCUGGAGCGCCGUGUUCCGGCUGACCGAGACGGAGCUGUGCGGCUCGCAGGCGGACCCCACCGAGGUGGCGGUGUGUCGGCGGUCCGGCCCGCUCGGCUCGCCUCUGCCCUCCUCCGCCCUCUCAGACUCGGCGGACACGUACGUGGCGGAGUACGUGCGCGGAGCGGCGCAGCUGGGCGCCGAGCCGGGCCGGCCG